rnacentral:rRNA from 1 species
CACCAAGCCUACAAUGCCUACCGGGCGUGCGAGCGUGGCCCGGCACACUGGGACUGAGACACUGCCCAGACUCCUACGGGAGGCUGCAGUCGAGAAUCUUCGGCAAUGGGCGCAAGCCUGACCGAGCGACGCCGCGUGGAGGAUGAAGGCCUUCGGGUUGUAAACUCCUGUCGAGGGGGAGGAAGGUCGGGUAACCGGCUUGACCGAUCCCUGGAGGAAUCAUGGGCUAAGUUCGUGCCAGCAGCCGCGGUAAGACGAACCGUGCGAACGUUAUUCGGAAUCACUGGGCUUAAAGCGCGUGUAGGCGGAUGGGGACGUCGGUUGCUGAAAUCCCCCGGCUCAACCGGGGAACGGGCGCCGAAACGCCCCGUCUGGAGGAACGUAGGGGGACCUGGAACUUCCGGUGGAGCGGUGAAAUGCGUUGAGAUCGGAAGGAACGCCCGUGGCGAAAGCGAGGUCCUGGACGUUUUCUGACGCUGAGACGCGAAAGCUAGGGUAGCGAACAGGAUUAGAUACCCUGGUAGUCCACGCCGUAAACGUUGGGCGCUAGGUGUGGGUCCCUUCCACGGGGUCUGUGCCGCAGCUAACGCAUUAAGCGCCCCGCCUGGGGAGUACGGCCGCAAGGCUAAAACUCAAAGGAAUUGACGGAUCCCGCGGC